rnacentral:snRNA from 1 species
GUGCUCGCUUCAGCAGCGCAUCGACUAAAAUUGGAACUAUACAGAGAAGAUUAGCACGGCCUCUGCGCAAGAUGACACGCAAAUUCAUGAAGCGUUCCAUAAAAAG